rnacentral:rRNA from 1 species
AUUGAACGCUGGCGGCAGGCCUAACACAUGCAAGUCGAACGGUAGCACAGAGAGCUUGCUCUCGGGUGACGAGUGGCGGACGGGUGAGUAACGUCUGGGAAACUGCCCGCUGGAGGGGGAUAACUACUGGAAACGGUAGCUAAUACCGCAUAACGUCGCAAGACCCAAGUGGGGGUCCUUCGGGCCUCACACCAUCGGAUGUGCCCAGAUGGGAUUAGCUAGUAGGGGGGGUAAUGGCACACCUAGGCGACGAUCCCUAGCUGGUCUGAGAGGAUGACCAGCCACACUGGAAAUGAGACACGGUCCAGACUCCUACGGGAGGCAGCAGUGGGGAAUAUUGCACAAUGGGCGCAAGCCUGAUGCAGCCAUGCCGCGUGUAUGAAGAAGGCCUUCGGGUUGUAAAGUACUUUCAGCGGGGAGGAAGGCGGUGAAGUUAAUAGCUUAACCGAUUGACGUUACCCGCAGAAGAAGCACCGGCUAACUCCGUGCCAGCCGCCGCUGUAA